rnacentral:rRNA from 1 species
CCUACGGGAGGCAGCAGUAGGGAAUCUUCCACAAUGGGCGAAAGUCUGAUGCAGCAACGCCGCGUGGGUGAUGAAUGUCUUCUGAGCGUAAAACCCUGUUUUUAGAGAAGAAAGUGCGUGAGAGUAACUGUUCACGUUUCUACGUUAUCUAACCAGAACGCCACGGCUAACUACGUGCCAGCAGCGGCGGUCAUACGUAGGAUCCUUGCAUUAUCUGGUGUGACUGGGUGUAAAGAGUUGCGUAGGUGGCAUAAUAAGUAGCUAGUGAAAUGUGGUGGCUUAACCAUUCAGACUAUUAGGUAAACUGGUAAGCUCGAGAACGUUAGGGGUAAGUGGAAUUUGUAGUGUAGGGGUGAAAUCCGUAGAUAUUAGAAGGAACACCGAUAGCGUAGGCAGGUUACUGAGACGGUUCUGACACUAAGGCACGAAAGCGUAGGGAGCAAACGGGAUUAGAUACCCCUGUAGUC